rnacentral:rRNA from 1 species
AGAGUUUGAUCAUGGCUCAGAACGUACGCUGGCGGCACGCCUAACACAUGCAAGUCGAACGCAGUAGCAAUACUGAGUGGCAGACGGGUGAGUAACAUGUGGGAAUCUGCCUUGUGGUUCAGGACAACAUUGGGAAACCGAUGCUAAUACUGGAUAAGCCCUUACGGGGAAAGUUUUAAUGCCACAAGAUGAGCCCGCAUUUGAUUAGUUAGUUGGUGAGGUAAUGGCUCACCAAGACAAUGAUCAAUAGCUGAUCUGAGAGGAUGAUCAGCCACACUGGGACUGAGACACGGCCCAGACUCCUACGGGAGGCAGCAGUGGGGAAUCUUGCACAAUGGAGGAAACUCUGAUGCAGCGAUGCCGCGUGAGUGAAGAAGGCCUUUGGGUUGUAAAGCUCUUUUGUAGGGGAAGAUAAUGACUGUACCCUAAGAAUAAGGUCCGGCUAACUUCGUGCCAGCAGCCGCGGUAAUACGAAGGGACCUAGCGUAGUUCGGAAUUACUGGGCGUAAAGCGCGCGUAGGCCGUUGAGUUAGUUAAUUGUGAAAUCCCAAAGCUUAACUUUGGAACUGCAAUUAAAACUGCUCGACUAGAGUUUGAUAGAGGAAAGCGGAAUACAUAGUGUAGAGGUGAAAUUCGUAGAUAUUAUGUAGAACACCAGUUGCGAAGGCGGCUUUCUGGGUCAACACUGACGCUGAGGCGCGAAAGUAUGGGUAGCAAAGAGGAUUAGAUACCCUCGUAGUCCAUACCAUAAACGAUGAUUGCUAGAUGUUGGAAAUUUAUUUUCAGUAUCGCAGCUAACGCAUUAAGCAAUCCGCCUGGGGAGUACGACCGCAAGGUUAAAACUCAAAUGAAUUGACGGGGACCCGCACAAGCGGUGGAGCAUGUGGUUUAAUUCGAAGAUACGCGCAGAACCUUACCAACCCUUGACAUGUCUGUCGCGAGUUUAGGAAACUAGACUUUUCGGUUCGGCCGGACAGAACA